ensembl:lncRNA
GAAAUAGAGCCAUCUAGCAGCAGUCAAGGUGAAGUGGGCAAGGCGGUCCAGUCGCGUUUCGUCGAGACCCCGUCGCCAGCCGGCCGGCACGCCUGCUUCGCCGCUCCCGUGAGCCCUGCGGAAGCGUCACAGGGACCGCGUGACGGAGCCUUUUCCACGUAAAGGGGCCGUGUGGGUGGCCUUCAGGAAGGGGCCGAGGGCUUCCCGCGCGCCCUGCGACGACGCUGCCUGGUCCCGGCGUGGCCGUAUCGUGCGGCCUCAGGACACGGCCGUUCGCAGGAGACCCUGACGGAGAGACGACAGCCUGGCGAUGGCAGGAACUUCCCGGAUAGCCAGGCGGCGUUCUUUGGCGCUCCGUGUGGAUCCUCCCCAGCGGGCAUCCGAGAGCUGAGUCGAAGGCUACCACCCGCAGAGGGGAUGAAAGCGGGGUGCCGGGUCGGGACUUGUGACCUGGGAUAUUUGAGUCAGCUUUGGGGACGGGGAGGUCCAGGCUGUGGCCCCUUAGGCCGCACGGUGGGAGAGCCUCACUUUUGUUCACAGUGCUGAGGUGUGCAGGACAGAGCAGCCUCGGGGUGCAUCGUUUCACUUGUCCAUUGUGCCUUCUGUGUUUUUUGUGCCUCUUGUGUUGUAUGUGCCUUCCCUUAUCCCUUCUGGGGGCUUACCAGAAACCCCAGCAUCACUUAUAGCAUCUCCAAUCUCUGGGCUCCUUGGCUUGGCAGCUCUCAGAGGCCUUGGAAUCGCGUCUCUUUUGACAAGCAUCCGAUCGGAUGUCUUUUAGACCUCUUGUUCUGAGCUGUGUCAACAGCCGUGCGCCGCGAGGAUCCAUUGUUGCGGCUUAGGACUUGAAGAAACGCAAAGAUAGGUAGG